UCAGCCGGCCGGGCGGCCGCUCCGGGAUCCGUCCCGGGGAGGAAAGUCCGGGCUCCAUGGAAGCACGGUGCCGGAUAACGUCCGGCGGGGGCGACCCCAGGGACAGUGCAACAGAAAGCAGACCGCCCCGGAUCCGUCCGGGGUAAGGGUGAAAGGGUGCGGUAAGAGCGCACCGCGGACGCGGUAACGCGGACGGCACGGCAAACCCCACCGGGAGCAAGACCGAAUAGGGGCGGCGCGGCGGCUUCAUGCCGCCAGGGCACGCUUCCAGCCCAGUCGCCCGGGUUGGUUGCUCGAGGCGAUCGGCGACGAUCGUCCCAGAGGAAUGGCCGCCGGCCCGGGAUCCGUCCCGGGCUCUACAGAACCCGGCUUACAGGCCGGCUGACCCC
rnacentral:RNase_P_RNA from 1 species